rnacentral:lncRNA from 1 species
UUUGACAUCUUCUCUCAAGUCUCCUGAUUAUGUAUUUUUCACUCAUGCUGAAUGGUCUGUGACCUCGAAAUGGCUGGAUCAAAAGAGGCACUACAGAGGCCCCUGUCUCCCUGGCGACCCUGUAGCUCCUCCAGAGCACCUCAGCGCUACCUGCUGUCCACUCAGUCCUUUGAGCUGGGGGCUGGGGACUCACUCUCCCUCUCAGCCCCAAUAGGACGGGACUUCCUGGCCUACUGUCCCGUCCCAGGCUGGAGGGGUGGGUUGGGGUUGCUUCAGAUCAUCAUUGAUUAUCCUCCUGCCAAAUGAUUACACAGAGGAAGAAAGCAUUUUGAUGACUGUGGGCCAAACUCCUGCAUGGACUUCAUGCUGGAUGCUGUGAUUCUGAGAUGAUGUCACAGGAAAUUUCUAUCUUGGCCACUCACGAUGAAGACGUCUCUGGGGCCGAGGUUAGAUGGCUUCCCCUGUCCUCACAGUGUUGUGAGUCUGAGCGGUACAAACAGUUAUAUCUGCUUGCACCUAGAAAGAGUCAUGCCACUGCGAAGCUCCCUCCGCUCCAGCGUGUCUUGUCUUUUCUCCUCUGGAUCUUUGCACCAGCUGUUUCCUCUCCCGAGAAUGUUCCGCCUUCUCCUGUCCACCUGCGGAAGUCAACCUGCUCUUCAGGGCCCAGAGGAAAAGCC